rfam:Lactobacillus sp. WiKim39, complete genome.
GGUCCCUUGGCUCAGUAGGAUAGAGCAACUGCCUCCUAAGCAGUAGGUCCUCGGUUCGAUUCCGAGAGGGAUCA